GACGAACGCUGGCGGCGCGCUUAACACAUGCAAGUCGAGCGAGAACCAGUCCUUCGGGACUGGGGACAGCGGCGAACGGGUGAGUAACACGUGGGUAAUCUGCCCUCGGCACCGGAAUAGCCCGGGGAAACCCGGAUUAAUGCCGGAUGGCCUCUCUGCCCCUCGGGGCGGCGAGAAAAGGUAGCUUCGGCCUCCGGCCGAGGAUGAGCCCGCGGCCGAUUAGCUUGUUGGUGGGGUAACGGCUCACCAAGGCGACGAUCGGUAGCUGGUCUGAGAGGACGAUCAGCCACACUGGGACUGAGACACGGCCCAGACUCCUACGGGAGGCAGCAGUGGGGAAUCUUGCGCAAUGGGCGAAAGCCUGACGCAGCGACGCCGCGUGCGGGAAGAAGGCCUUCGGGUUGUAAACCGCUUUCAGGAGGGACGAAGCCACUCGGGUUAAUAGCCUAGAGGGUGACGGUACCUCCAGAAGAAGCCCCGGCUAACUACGUGCCAGCAGCCGCCGUAAAAC
rnacentral:rRNA from 1 species